rnacentral:pre_miRNA from 1 species
UAAUACUGAGGAGAGGAGACAGGGAUGAGGCAGAGCAUGGGAUGGGGCUAUCAACAGAGAUGUAGAUUGUUGUUAGGACAAGAAGAGAUGAGUUGUGUGCGAGAGAGAUGGAUGUGUUGUUGCUCCCUCCCCUGCACUGCCUCUUCCCUGGCUCCCUGCAUCUCCUCAUCU